rnacentral:rRNA from 1 species
UACGUAGAUGGCGAGCGUUAUCCGGAAUGACUGGGCGUAAAGGGUGCGUAGGCGGUUUAAUAAGUCAGAUGUGAAAGUCCCGAGCUUAACUUGGGGAUUGCAUUUGAAACUAUUAGACUUGAGUGCGGGAGAGGAAAGUGGAAUUCCUAGUGUAGCGGUGAAAUGCGUAGAUAUUAGGAGGAACACCAGUGGCGAAGGCGACUUUCUGGACCGUAACUGACGCUGAGGCACGAAAGCGUGGGGAGCAAACAGG